ACUUAAGCAUCAUGCUGCCAACUUAAAUAUUUCUCUUACAAGAAAAAAAAAACAACAUUAAAAAAUUGACUAAUUCACUAACUAUCAUUCACUCGCACAUUUUUUAAAAAAUGUGCCUUGUUAUCUCUUUUUGCUCGUAUAAACAACAAAAAUGCAUGUAAAAAAUAUGACAGAGAAAGCAUUUUGAUGAGAUGACGAUCCAACUCAGAUCGAAAAGUCUUUUAGAGUAUAUUUCAGAGUAUAUUUCAUGCAGUUUUUCACGCACAAAUUAUUGGAAAAGUAUGAGAAGAAAUGAUGUAUACUUGUGACUUACAGGCAAGGUGUUGUGAGGGAUUCAGCUAUUUCAGGUUUUUACUUAACAGGCCUAGGCUCAACCUCAUCUUUCUUGGGCUCAUCUUUCUUGGGCUCAUCGUCUUCGGAAUCCUCAUCCAUGUCGGGCUCAUCGUCUUCAGAAUCCUCGUCCAUGUUGGGCUCUUCAUUUUCGGUGCCAUCCUCCACGGUGGCCUCAUUAUCUUCUAAGUCAUCCUCCAUGUUGGGCUCCUUCACUUCAGUGGCGUCCUGCUCUGGCUCCUUCACUCCGGCCAGAUUUGGCUUUGGCACAUCAGCUUUAACCUCAUCAUUGAUGGCUUGAUCCAUUGAGAAAGGAUACUCAAACAGUUAUUCAUUUAGUCAAAGAACUUAUGCUGUUUCUUAAUCCCUAUAGAGAAAUCACACAAAUCAUCAAAGCAUAUGAUAUAUGGUGCAUAUACUCCUUGAUACAUGACAUCAGAGUUUAUCAUCUAGUUACCUUUGGGUUUAGCAGAAUCAUUUGCUGAUGGUGCGGCAAUGAUCACAGCCACAAAAGCACAGGCCAGCAGGAGAAUCUGGAUCUUCAUUAUCUGAAAGGAAACAUCAAAAUGUACAAAAAUACUGUGAAAUGGUCCGUGAGUAGUUAGCAACAGAUGCUGUUCAGUCUGUGGGUCUGAAUAAAGAGUAAAACAAAGGUGCUGUAUUUACCUUCAGUUUUCAGUAGCUCUCAGGUCCACAGAACUUCAACUCAAGUCAGGAGUGUUUUGACUUUCCAACUGAUGCACCUUCAAUAUAUAUGUACUUCUGAGCUAAGAAUGUUUGUUCAUCAACAAAGCUCAUCCAAUGAAAAGUCACCACAUGUUUUGCUGGUCUGUGACAAACAUGCUCUAAGGCAAAUGUCAUUGUGUUUGUAUUUUAUAAAAGUACCAGCAGUCAUUCGCACAAAGAUGCUGCAAUAUCAGUAUUGAGAUGUUAAGUCAAAAAUAUUGUGAUAUUUGAUUUUGUCGCCUAGUUGCAACUUUUAUGAAGUCCUUCUGAGGAGAGGUCAAAAUAUUCAGAUAUAUAUCAUGUAUUGUGAUAUAGACCAAAAAUUUGGCAAAUUUUGUCUUGACUUUGUCAGAUUCAGUUCAUGACAACAACUGUAAAGUCUCAUCCUGAGGCCUUCAAAUACUGACAUUAACUCCGAGUAGCCAACCCAAGGUUUUUAGCAUAUGACAAUAAACUAUUCUGUGUCAAGGAGCAUCAAUCAAAGAUAGUGUUUGGAAAAAAAGCCACUUCAUAACGAGUCUGUAGGUGUGUGUUCUGAUCAGAUUUGAUGGACAUCGGCUGGGCAAUAGAAGCAACAUAACUUGGUGCACAGAGUUACAUGACAUCACUUUUUUCCAAAGGAGCCACACACGUCAAACCAGUACAAAGCUCAACCAAUGAAAAGUUUCCACGUGUUUUGCUGGUCUGUGACAAACAUGCUCCAGGGCAAAUGUCACUCUGUUCAUAUUUUGCGAAAGUACCAGUUGUCAUCCCUACAAUAUUGUUGCAGUAUCAAUCUCAAGGUAUUUGGUGAAAAAUAUUGUGACAUUUGAUUUUAAUUGAAAUUAUACAAACAUUGGUUUCACAACUUUAAAAGAAUCCUACUUGCGAUUACAGCGAGGAUGCACAACUAUGAUUUGGUAAAAGUGUCUGUCAAAAUACUGCAUUACCAACUGAAGUCCAAAGUUAAAGGUCCAAUUUGUAAGAUUAAUGGAUUUCUGAGUAUCAUUCCCAAAUUGUCGAACACUGAUGCUUUGGAAUUGUAGGUCUGGUCGGCUGCCACCCCAAAGUGUCACUAGUUGAUGAGUAUUUUUGUUGGACAAAAUGACCCAAAAUGACUCUGAGGUAAAUACACAUCACCAAAAGUGAAUCUCCUAUCAU
ensembl:lncRNA